AGCUAACAAUUGCUAUCCACAGGUUGACACGCUAACAUUAGUUCAAAGUUAAUCUUGGUGUAACGACUGCAGACGACAAGUUAAUACUGAGGGGGUUAAAAGCUCCUGUUAAACUGUUCGGGCUGGUUCCUCUGCUGCAGCGGACAUCUGUCCAAAAAAAAAAAAAAAAAAAAACCUCCAGUCUGUGUCCUCCUGUCCUGAACAACGACAGGUAAGCAGUGUUGCAUCAUCAGAGUGUGAUGAAACUCAAGUGAGCGCAUCUGCGAUAAUAGACACACUGACUGGGAGGAAGUAUGCUGGAAGUUGUGGAUCUUUGAAGAGCAGCAGGAGUGUUUUAGGAAUGCACAGCUUCCUCCUUAUCUCAGCACAUUUGUCUGGGUGUUGUUUUGGAAAUUCAUUCAAAGAAAAGAGGAGUUUGUCAGUACAGCUGCAUGUCAGCGAACUCUGAAACAUUUGGUCGUCUACAUGCAUUUCUGAGCCGAGCCUUCUGUGUGAUGAGCCGGAUCCCCGACAGCAAAGACACGAGCGGUGAUGAUGGAGAAGGAGAAGAGUCUGUCCAGGGUGUAUUUGCACAGCAAAUCCUCCUGCCACCGAGGAAUGUGCUGAGCCUCCCCUUUACUGGUGUGGGACUUCUGUGGAAUCGGAAAAGACAUCAAACAUGAAUAAAAUCUUAUCUUAUGAGCCAUGGGCCAACAAAGUUUCAUGCUAAAACACACCCUUCACCGCGCAGACUCCUCGUAAAAUUGAACCUGAUCUUACCUUCUCGGGAUCCACCACUCCCCUCGACUUCACACAUGUGCUCAUGUCUUUGUGCAGUUUCUGCAUCGCCGGCUUCACUUUGUUGGCAAACUUUGAGCAGCUUUGAAAUCCAGCAAUCCUCUCCACUGCAGAGUUGUAGCUCGAGAGGACACUGACAAUUUUCCUGAUACAUGGCUGAGGAAGGAGAGAGGAACUUUAAAAUUAUGAACUCAUUUUAGGUUGCAGCCUGUUGUAUGCAUAUACCAAAUUUAUUUCUACUGAUGUAAUAGGCGUACACGGACAUUAAGGAGCAUUAAUGGCAUUUCAUGUAUGUAUUGUUAGUGUUUGUUGCUUACCACAGACUCAUUUCUGAGUGUCUCAGGAUCACACAUAUCUCUGGACUCCAUCCAAACCAGUGGGGUGGAGAAAUUUAUAACAUCUUCGGAUCCGUUUCGUGCCUACAGAACAUUUGAGACAAAGGCACAUGCUCAGUACACUUCUUUAUAUAAAAUUAUAAGGAUAUAAAGCCAAAUGCUGGUAUAUACAAAUUUUUAGACAAUAUUCCUAAUAAAGCCAGUGCACAUCUAUCAACAAAAAGAUCAAAUCAUAAUUGGUGUGG